rnacentral:rRNA from 1 species
UACGGAGGGGGCUAGCGUUGUUCGGAAUUACUGGGCGUAAAGGGCGCGUAGGCGGCGACCCAAGUCAGAUGUGAAAGUCCUGGGCUUAACCUGGGGACUGCAUUUGAUACUGGGUUGCUUGAAUUCGGGAGAGGAUAGCGGAAUUCCCAGUGUAGAGGUGAAAUUCGUAGAUAUUGGGAAGAACACCGGUGGCGAAGGCGGCUAUCUGGACCGACAUUGACGCUGAGGCGCGAAAGCGUGGGGAGCAAACAGGG